GUAGGUGGCAAGCGCUGUCCGGAAUUAUUGGGCGUAAAGCGCGCGCAGGCGGUUCUUUAAGUCUGAUGUGAAAGCCCACGGCUCAACCGUGGAGGGUCAUUGGAAACUGGGGGACUUGAGUACAGAAGAGGAAAGCGGAAUUCCAAGUGUAGCGGUGAAAUGCGUAGAGAUUUGGAGGAACACCAGUGGCGAAGGCGGCUUUCUGGUCUGUAACUGACGCUGAGGCGCGAAAGCGUGGGGAGCAAACAGGGAUUAGAUACCCUGGUAGUCCACGCCGUAAACGAUGAGUGCUAAGUGUUAGGGGGUUUCCGCCCCCUUAGUGCUGCAGCUAACGCAUUAAGCACUCCGCCUGGGGAUACGGCCGCAAGGCUG
rnacentral:rRNA from 1 species